GGCCCGGUGGUGGGAGAUCCCGGGCCGUGCCUGCAUUGGGUAGAAUCUUCAAAGAGUAAGCAGGAGAUGCUCGUUCGAUUCGAGCCCGGGCCA